CCUACGGGGUGCUGCAGUGGGGAAUAUUGGACAAUGGGCGAAAGCCUGAUCCAGCCAUGCCGCGUGUGUGAAGAAGGCCUUCGGGUUGUAAAGCACUUUCAGUGGGGAAGAAAGCCUUGGGGCUAAUACCCUCGAGGAAGGACAUCACCCACAGAAGAAGCACCGGCUAACUCCGUGCCAGCAGCCGCGGUAAUACGGAGGGUGCGAGCGUUAAUCGGAAUUACUGGGCGUAAAGCGCGCGUAGGCGGUCUGAUAAGCCGGUUGUGAAAGCCCCGGGCUCAACCUGGGAACGGCAUCCGGAACUGUCAGGCUAGAGUGCAGGAGAGGAAGGUAGAAUUCCCGGUGUAGCGGUGAAAUGCGUAGAGAUCGGGAGGAAUACCAGUCGCGAAGGCGGCCUUCUGGACUGACACUGACGCUGAGGUGCGAAAGCGUGGGUAGCAAACAGGAUUAGAUACCCCAGUAGUC
rnacentral:rRNA from 1 species